rnacentral:rRNA from 1 species
AGCAGCCGCGGUAAUUCCAGCUCCAAUAGCGUAUAUUAAAGUUGUUGCAGUUAAAAAGCUCGUAGUUGAAUUUCGGGAUUUGCACAUCGGUCGUGCCUUAAGGGGUAUGAACUGGUGUAGUGAAUUUCUCACCUUCUGGAGAACCGUGAUGUCCUUAAUUGGGUGCCACGAGGAACCAGGACCUUUACUUUGAAAAAAUUAAAGUGUUUAAAGCAGGCAUUUUUGCUUGAAUACAUUACCAUGGAAUAAUAAAAUAGGACGGCAUGAUUCUAUUUUGUUGGUUUCUAGGAUCACCGUAAUGAUUAAUAGGGAUAGUUGGGGGCAUUAGUAUUCAAUUGUCAGAGGUGAAAUUCUUGGAUUUAUUGAAGACUAACUACUGCGAAAGCAUUUGCCAAGGAUGUUUUCAUUAAUCAAGAACGAAAGUUAGGGGAUCGAAGACGAUCAGAUACCGUCAUAGUCUUAACCAUAAACUAUGCCGACUAGGAAUCAGACGAUGUUAAUUUUUUAAUGACUCGUUUGGCACCUUACG